CUACCUUGUUGCUUUGGCGGGACCGCUCGGUCUCGAGCCGCUGGGGAUUCGUCCCAGGCGAGCGCCCGCCAGAGUUAAACCAAACUCUUGUUAUUUAACCGGUCGUCUGAGUUAAAAUUUUGAAUAAAUCAAAACUUUCAACAACGGAUCUCUUGGUUCUCGCAUCGAUGAAGAACGCAGCGAAAUGCGAUAAGUAAUGUGAAUUGCAGAAUUCAGUGAAUCAUCGAAUCUUUGAACGCACAUUGCGCCCCUUGGUAUUCCGAGGGGCAUGCCUGUUCGAGCGUCAUUACACCACUCAAGCUAUGCUUGGUAUUGGGCGUCGUCCUUAGUUGGGCGCGCCUUAAAGACCUCGGCGAGGCCACUCCGGCUUUAGGCGUAGUAGAAUUUAUUCGAACGUCUGUCAAAGGAGAGGAACUCUGCCGACUGAAACCUUUAUUUUUCUAGGUUGACCUCGGAUCAGGUAGGGAUACCCGCUGAACUUAAGCAUAUCAAUAAGC
rnacentral:rRNA from 1 species